GUUAAUAUGGAAUAUGAAGGCAGUACAAAAAUCAACAACUUUCUAUGGAGAGCUAUUUCAAAUGCCAUUCAUACAAAACACAACCUCUUAUCUUGACACAUUGGCAUGGAUCCUAGAUGCUCAUUUUGUGGUACAGAGGAUGAAACCUUAGAAAAUAUUGUUCUCAAGUGCCCGUGGGUGCACUAUGUGUGGUAUGACUCUCGCUUAAGUUAUCACCCCAAUAAUCAAGGAAUUACCUCUCUUGAUCGCUGGCUUCUAUGCAUGGCUACGAUAGGAUCUUCAUCUUUAAGGGAUACUAUUUGGUUAUAUGUUGGGGUGAUAUGCUGGGAGAUUUGGAAAGAACGAUGUCAUGCAAUUUUCAUGAAGGUGGCUCCCAACCCCAUAUUUGUCUUAGCAAGAUGUAACAGUAUGUACAAUGACAUAACAAAUAUACACACCAGGCUCCCAUCAAUUGUUAGUCAAGAGGAUCAUUAUAUUCAUAGGUGGAUCCCUCUAGUGGACCGGAACGUAAAGGUUAACGUUGAUGGGGCUUGGAACUCUUCCAUGAUGGAAACUGGAGUGGGAGUUGUUAUUCGAAAUUCUAGUGGUGAACUUAUUUGCGGUGAGUCCAGUUUCUUGAAGAGAGCUUCAGUUGAAGAGGUUGAAGCUGAAGCAGUAUUAACAGGGAUGAAACUAGCUUCAACAAAAAACUUCCAGCAUGUUAUGAUUGAGAGUGAUUCUAUAGUGGUCAUAGAGGCCAUCAAUUGUCCUUCUCACAGCAAAAUAUGGAGAAUUUACCCCAUUAUCGUUGAGAUUCGACGAUUGGCAUCUCAUUUUUCAUCGGUAACUUUAACUCGGACAUCAAGGUCCUCCAAUCGAGCAGCUCAUUUGGUAGCUGCACUUGGCAACUCGAGGGUGAGACACUUCCAAUGGGCUUCAAUGCCUCCUCCCUCCUUGGUUCUGGUACUUUCACAUGAUGGACUCCUUUGUCCUCCGUCAUUGGUAGUCUGAUGAUGGCUACUCCAUUGCCAUCCUCUAUUUUUUUGUAUGCCUUGAUGGCUUUUUGUAGCUAGUGUUAUCUUCUCUUCCUGAGAUUUACUUUCUCUGUAUGGUUGGUAUCACUAUGUAUCCCCAUCGGGGAUCAGAGUUUCUGUGACUCCACUUGUACUUGUUCUCUUUUUCAAUAUAUUUCCUCAUUUUUCCAAAAAAAAAAAUAUUCCUCUAAUUUUCACUUAUAGUACACCAGCAUAACUAAGGGGCACCCACGUAAUUAUCCUUAAAACCAAAGGUCAAUGUCUUGAUUAAACUCUAUUUAAAGAAGGAAACUUAUCAAUCUAAUGCAACGAAGUCUCCACUCACCAAAACCCGCACAUACCAUGGAAAGAUUGCCAGGAGUAUUACUCUUCCUUCUUGCCAUAUUUUUCUCAACAACUCAAGCUUAUGAGCCACUUAUAAACCACCAUAUCCAUCUCCUCAGGCCGAAAUCCGGGGCGGGUGGCAGCAGCGUUCCCGGCGUGUCUUGCCUGAGUUGGCGUUUGGGGGUGGAAGUUAGGAACAUUAUCAACUGGAAGACUGUUCCGGCACAGUGUGAAAGCUACGUUGGGCACUACAUGCUUGGGCACCAGUACAGGAAGGACUCAAAAGCGGUCACUGAUGUGGCUUGGCUCUAUGCUAAGAGCCUCAAUCUUACAAAGGAUGGCAAGAACGUUUGGGUCUUUGAUAUCGAUGAAACUACACUCUCUAAUCUACCGUAUUAUGCUCGUCAUGGAUUCGGGACCGAGGUAUACAAUUCCACUUCAUUCAAUGAAUGGGUGUUGGAAGGCACAGCCCCAGCUUUGCCCGAGAGUCUUCAGCUGUACAAGAAAUUGUUGAAACUUGGAGUCAAGGUCGUGUUCAUAACAGGUAGAGGAGAAGAUCAGA